AACGUAGGUACCGAGCGUUAUCCGGAUUUACGGGGCGUAAAGCGUGUUCAGGCGGCCUGGCAAGUCGGGCAUGAAAUCUCUCGGCUCAACCGUGAGAGGCUGUCCGAUACUGCUGGGCUUGAGGUCGGUAGAGGGUGGUGGAAUUCCGCGUGUAGUGGUGAAAUGCGUAGAUAUGCGGAGGAACACCAGUGGCGAAGGCGGCCACCUGGACCGUCCCUGACGCUCAAACACGAAAGCUAGGGUAGCGAACGGG
rnacentral:rRNA from 1 species